UGACUUUAGUCAAAGUCAAACUGCUUCAAGUUUGACCAAGUUUAUAGAAAAUAAUAAUAAUAUUUUUGACCCAAGAUAAAUAUAUUUAAUAAAACUAAUUUGGUAAUGUAAAUAUUACUAUAUUUGUCUAUAAACUUGAUCAAACUUGAAGCAGUUUGACUUUGACCAAAGUCAA
rfam:Oryza sativa Japonica Group DNA, chromosome 8, cultivar: Nipponbare, complete sequence.